rnacentral:rRNA from 1 species
UACGGAGGGUGCAAGCGUUAUCCGGAUUCACUGGGGUUAAAGGGUGCGUAGGCGGGCAGGUAAGUCAGUGGUGAAAUCUCCGAGCUUAACUCGGAAACUGCCAUUGAUACUAUUUGUCUUGAAUACUGUGGAGGUAAGCGGAAUAUGUCAUGUAGCGGUGAAAUGCUUAGAUAUGACAUAGAACACCAAUUGCGAAGGCAGCUUACUACACAAUUAUUGACGCUGAGGCACGAAAGCGUGGGGAUCAAACAGG